rnacentral:rRNA from 1 species
UACGGAAGGCAGCAGUGGGGAAUAUUGCACAAUGGGCGAAAGCCUGAUGCAGCUAUGCCGCGUGUAUGAAGAAGGCCUUAGGGUUGUAAAGUACUUUCAUCGGGGAGGAAAAAACAAAACUAAUAAUUUUAUUUCUUGACGUUACUCGAAAAAGAAGCACCGGCUAACUCCGUGCCAGCAGCCGCGGUAAUACGGAGGGUGCUAGCGUUAAUCAGAAUUACUGGGCGUAAAGAGCACGUAGGUGGUUUUUUUAAGUCAGAUGUGAAAUCCCUGGGCUUAACCUAGGAACUGCAUUUUGAAACUGAAAUACUAGAGUAUCGUAGAGGGAGGUAGAAUUCUAGGUGUAGCGGUGAAAUGCGUAGAUAUCUGGAGGAAUACCUGUGGCGAAAGCGGGCCUCCUAAACGAAUACUGACACUGAGGUGCGAAAGCGUGGGGAGCAAACAGGGAUUAGAUACC